GGUGGUAUAACUCAGUGUUAAAGUAAGUCCUUAACAUGCACAAAGUCCUGGGUUCAAUCCUCUGUACCUCCA
rnacentral:tRNA from 1 species